rnacentral:rRNA from 1 species
AUCCUGGCGCAGGAUGACGGACGCUGCGGCUAUGCUUAACAGCAAUGCAAUCGCACGGUAAGUGGUGUUUCCAGUGGCGAACGGGUGAGUAACAGCGUAAUGAACCUGCCCCUUUGGGAGGGGAACAACAACUGGAAAACGUUGCUAAUACCCCGUAGGCUGAGGAGCAAAGGGAACUCCGCCCAGGAGGGGCUCGCGUCUGAUUAGCUCGUUGGUGAGGCAAUAGCUUACCACGGCGAUGAUUCAUAGCUGGUCCGAGAGGAAUGAUCAGCCACCACUGGGACUGAGACCCGGCCCAGACUCCUAACGGGAGUCAGCAGUGGGGAAUUUUUCCGCAUGGGCGAAAGCCUGACGGAGCAGGCGCGUGGAAGGUGGACCGGCCUACGGGUCGUCACCUUCCUUUUUCUCGGAGAAGAAACAAUGACGGUAUCUGAGGAAUAGCAUCGCAAUCGCUAACUCUGGUGCCCGCAGCCGCGUAAGACAGAGGAUGCAAGCGUUAUCCGUAAUGAAUUUGGGCGUAAGCGUCUGUAGGGGGUGGCUUUUCAAGUCCGCCGUCAAUCCCGGGCUCAACCCUGCAGGCGGGUGGAACUACCAAUCUGGAGUAACGUUAGGGCAGAGGGAAUUUCCGGUGGAGCGGUGAAAUGCAUUGAAAGAUCGGAAGAACACCAACGGGCGAAGCACUCUGCUGGGCCGACACUGACACUGAGAGACGAAAACUAGGGGAGCCAAUGGGAUUAGGACCCCAGUAGUCCUAGCCGUAACGAUGGUACUAGGUGCUGUGCGACUCGACCCGUUCAAGGCUGUAGCUAACGCGUUUAAGUAUCCCGCCUGGGGAGUAUCGUUUGGCAAAUAAACUCAAGGAAUUGAACGGGGGCCCGCACAAGCGGUGGAGCAUGUGGUUUAAAUUUCGAUUCAAGGCCGAGACCUUACCAUGGGCUUGGACAGGCCGCGAAUCUCUUGAAAGAGAGGGUUGCCCUCGGGAACGGCUGACAACAGGUGGUGGCAUGGCUGUCGUCAGCUCGUGCCGUAAGGUGUUUUGGUUAGUCCCCGCAACGAGCGCAACCCGCGUGUUUAUUUGCCCACUAUGAGUUUGGAACCCUGAACAGACCGCCGUGUUUAAGCCGGAGGAAGGAGAGGAAUGAGGCCAAGUCAUCAUCCCCUUAUGCCCUGGGCGCACACGGCUACAAUGGCGGGACAAAGGGUCGCGAUCUCGUCGAGGGGGUAUCUAACCUCCAAAAACCCGCCCUCAGUUCGGAUUGGCAGGCUUCACUCGCCGCUAAGCAGGAAGCGCUAUAAUCGCCGGUCAGCCAUACUGACGGUGAAUCCGUUCCCGGGCCCUUGGGUGGUGGGACACACCGCCCGUCCCACUAUAGGAGCUGGCAGUUUGAAGUCAUUAUUACCCUUAAACCGUAAGGAGGGGGAUUCCAAGGCUAGGCUUGCGACUUGAGUGAAGUCUAACAAGGUAGCCGUACUGGAAGGUGCGGCUG